rnacentral:misc_RNA from 1 species
UGGUUCUGGCAUCGAUGAAGAACGCAGCGAAAUGCGAUAAGUAAUGUGAAUUGCAGAAUUCCGUGAAUCAUCGAAUCUUUGAACGCACAUUGCGCCCGCCAGUAUUCUGGCGGGCAUGCCUGUUCGAGCGUCAUUUCAACCCUCAAGCCUAGCUUGGUGUUGGGGAUCGGCCCGUCCCUAGCGGAUGGGCCGGCCCCGAAAUCUAGUGGCGGACUCGCUGUAGCCUCCUCUGCGUAGUAGCAAUAUCUCGCACUGGAAGCUCGGCAAGCCCACGCCGUUAAACCCCCCAAACUCUGAAAGGUUGACCUCGGAUCAGGUAGGAAUACCCGCUGA